rnacentral:rRNA from 1 species
GACGAAUGCUGGCGGCGUGCUUAACACAUGCAAGUCGAACGGAAAGGCCCUGCUUUUGUGGGGUGCUCGAGUGGCGAACGGGUGAGUAACGCGUGAGUAACCUGCCCUUGACUUUGGGAUAACUUCAGGAAACUGGGGCUAAUACCGGAUAGGAGCUCCUGCUGCAUGGUGGGGGUUGGAAAGUUUCGGCGGUUGGGGAUGGACUCGCGGCUUAUCAGCUUGUUGGUGGGGUAGUGGCUUACCAAGGCUUUGACGGGUAGCCGGCCUGAGAGGGUGACCGGCCACAUUGGGACUGAGAUACGGCCCAGACUCCUACGGGAGGCAGCAGUGGGGAAUAUUGCACAAUGGGCGGAAGCCUGAUGCAGCAACGCCGCGUGCGGGAUGACGGCCUUCGGGUUGUAAACCGCUUUCGCCUGUGACGAAGCGUGAGUGACGGUAAUGGGUAAAGAAGCACCGGCUAACUACGUG